AAACCAACAGGGAUUGCCUUAGUAGCGGCGAGUGAAGCGGCAAUAGCUCAAAUUUGAAAUCUGGCACCUUCGGUGUCCGAGUUGUAAUUUGAAGAAGGUAUCUUUGGUUUUGGCUCUUGUCUAUGUUCCUUGGAACAGGACGUCACAGAGGGUGAGAAUCCCGUGCGAUGAGAUGCCCAAUUCCAUGUAAAGUUCCUUCGACGAGUCGAGUUGUUUGGGAAUGCAGCUCUAAGUGGGUGGUAAAUUCCAUCUAAAGCUAAAUAUUGGCGAGAGACCGAUAGCGAACAAGUACUGUGAAGGAAAGAUGAAAAGAACUUUGAAAAGAGAGUGAAAAAGUACGUGAAAUUGUUGAAAGGGAAGGGCUUGAGAUUAGACUUGGAAUUUUCCAUUUAUGGAGCUUUCCGGGCCAGCAUCAGUUUGGAUGGCAGGAUAAUUGCGUUGGAAAGUAGCACCACUUCGGUGGUGUGUUAUAGACUUCGUCGAUACUGCCUAUCUAGACUGAGGACCGCGUCUUUGACUAAGG
rnacentral:rRNA from 1 species